rnacentral:rRNA from 1 species
UACGGAAGGUGCAAGCGUUAAUCGGAAUUACUGGGCGUAAAGCGCGCGUAGGUGGUUUGUUAAGUUGGAUGUGAAAGCCCUGGGCUCAACCCCGGAACUGCAUUUGAAACUUCACAUCUAGAGUCUCGGAGGGGAGUGUGGAAUUCCUAAUGUAGCAGUGAAAUGCUUAGAUAUUAGGAGGAACACCGGUGGCGAAGGCGACACUCUGGACGAGUACUGACACUGAGGUGCGAAAGUGUGGGGAGCAAACGGG